CCAAUGCAUCAUCAAAGAACUCAUUUGGCUAAGGGAAAAGGUCAAGAGACAAAGAUGGUCCCUUACAGAAUAGGCUUCAGUAACAGGGGAUCUAUCAAAAAAUGAUUAAGCUUUAGUAGAAUGCUAAAGGUAAGUCUCAAAAA
rnacentral:sRNA from 1 species